UACGAGGGGGGCUAGUGUUGUUCGGAAUCACUGGGCGUAAAGGGAGCGUAGGCGGGAGCCUAAGUUGGGUGUUUAAUUCCGGGGCCCAACCCCGGGCGUGCACUCAAAACUGGGUUUCUUGAAUAGGGGAGAGGUCGAUGGAAUUGGAGGUGUAGCGGUGGAAUGCGUAGAGAUCUCCAAGAACACCGGUUGCGAAGGCGGUCGACUGGACCCAUAUUGACGCUGAGGCUCGAAAGCGUGGGGAGCAAACAGG
rnacentral:rRNA from 1 species